rnacentral:rRNA from 1 species
UACGUAGGGGGCGAGCGUUGUCCGGAUUUAUUGGGCGUAAAGAGCGUGUAGGCGGCCAGGUAGGUCUGCUGUGAAAACUCGAGGCUCAACCUCGAGACGUCGGCGGAAACCAUCUGGCUAGAGUCCGGAAGAGGAGAGUGGAAUUCCUGGUGUAGCGGUGAAAUGCGCAGAUAUCAGGAAGAACACCCGUGGCGAAGGCGGCUCACUGGACCGGUAUUGACGCUGAGGUGCGAAAGCGUGGGGAGCAAACAGG